AUUGAACGCUGGCGGCAGGCUUAACACAUGCAAGUCGAACGAGUGGCGGACGGGUGAGUAAUGCUUGGGAAUCUGCCUUAUGGAGGGGGAUAACGACGGGACACUGUCGCUAAUACCGCGUACCAUAGGAUGCGCCCAAGUGGGGUUAGGUAGUUGGUGGGGUAAUGGCCUACCAAGCCGACGAUCCUUAGCUGGUAUGAGAGGAGGACCGGCAAAACCGGGACGGUGAAAGGGCCCGAACCCCUACGGAAGGCGGCAGUGGGGAAGAUUUCGCAAGGGGGGCAACCGGACGAAGACAUGCGGCGUGAAGGAUGAGGGCCUUCGGGUUGUAAGGUUCUUUCGGUGACUAGGCGGUAAUCACAGAAGAAGCACCGGCUAACUACGUGCCAGCAGCCGCGGUAAUAC
rnacentral:rRNA from 1 species